rnacentral:rRNA from 1 species
GGAGUCUGGUCCGUGUCUCAGUACCAGUGUGGGGGACCUUCCUCUCAGAACCCCUACCGAUCGAUGCCCCGGUGGGCCGUUACCCCGCCGGCAAGCUAAUCGGACGCAUCCCCAUCCUGCGGCGAACGAAUCCUUUGCUCAAAAUCUGAUGCCGUCAAAUGAGCACAUAGGGCAUUAAUCCGACUUUCGCCGGGCUGUUCCCUACCGCAGGGCAGGUUGGAUACGCGUUACUCACCCGUGCGCCGGUCGCCAUCAUCGGUUGCAAGCAACCGACAUGCUGCCCCGCGACUUGCAUGUGUUAAGCCUGUAGCUAGCGUUCAUC